GAUGAACGCUGGCGGCGUGCCUAAUACAUGCAAGUCGAGCGAACAGACGAGGAGCUUGCUCCUUCGACGUUAGCGGCGGACGGGUGAGUAACACGUAGGUAACCUACCUAUAAGACUGGGAUAACUUCGGGAAACCGGAGCUAAUACCAGAUAAUAUUUCGAACCGCAUGGUUCGAUAGUGAAAGAUGGCUUUGCUAUCACUUAUAGAUGGACCUGCGCCGUAUUAGCUAGUUGGUAAGGUAACGGCUUACCAAGGCAACGAUACGUAGCCGACCUGAGAGGGUGAUCGGCCACACUGGAACUGAGACACGGUCCAGACUCCUACGGGAGGCAGCAGUAGGGAAUCUUCCGCAAUGGGCGAAAGCCUGACGGAGCAACGCCGCGUGAGUGAUGAAGGUCUUCGGAUCGUAAAACUCUGUUAUUAGGGAAGAACAAACGUGUAAGUAACUGUGCACGUCUUGACGGUACCUAAUCAGAAAGCCACGGCUAACUACGUG
rnacentral:rRNA from 1 species